rnacentral:rRNA from 1 species
GUUGUUAUUAUUAUCAGGUUUAACCUGCCCACUGAUUUAAUUAUUUAAAGGCCGCAGUAUAUUAACUGUGCAAAGGUAGCAUAAUCAAUUGUCUUUUAAUUGAAGGCUAGAAUGAAUGGUUGAAUGAGAGAUAGACUUUCUUUGCUAUAUUUAUUGAAUUUAAUUUUUUAGUUAAAAAGCUAAAAUUUGUUUAAAGGACGAGAAGACCCUAUAGAAUUUUACUCAUAUAGAUGAAUUAUUUAUUAUAUUAGGUUAUGUAAUGUUUAUUUUAUUGAGUUUUGUUGGGGUGACAAGGAAAAUGUUUAUAACUUUCUUUAUUUAUAAUAUUAUUUAUAUAUAUAUUAGAGAUCCUUAUUUUAAGAUAUAAAGAUUAAAUUACCUUAGGGAUAACAGCGUAAUUCUUUUGGAGAGUUCAUAUUGAUGGAAGAGUUUGCGACCUCGAUGUUGGAUUAAAAUUAAUACUAGGUGUAGUGGUUUAGUGAUUAGGGUCUGUUCGACCUUUAAAUUUUUACA